GGGCCAGUGGCGCAACCUGGACAGCGCGUUCGGCUUCGGACCGAAAGGUUGUGGGUUCGAAUCCUGCCUGGCCCG
rnacentral:tRNA from 1 species